CGAGUUUUUAUAUGAAUUUUUUCCACCAUAACAACUCGUGGAAUAUGCUCAUAUGAUGACAAUGAAGACAGCCUACAAUUUUGAUUGUGAAGCCUAAGCCCCCUUACAAACUUAUCCAAAUAGUACAAAGUAGACCCAAACUAUAUCAGAGUCUGAAUAACCCAUCAAAGUAGGUUUAUUUUCUCAAAUCACUGAUACCAGGAAAAUACUUGAAAAUCUGUUUCUGUUUCACAUUUGAAAGAAAUUUAACCAUACCAAUAAUAUAUACAAUAACACCUAAAAUAAACUUCAUGAAAUUUUGUUUAACCCCUAAAAUGAACA
rnacentral:lncRNA from 1 species